AGGACUUGCGUAGAUGACAGAAUUGGCAUUCUUGCUCUCCCAAAGUAAUAAUGCCCUGUGUGCUUACCGCUCGGCGAGUCUUGGGGAUGUUGAAGGCGGUGUUAUGAAAUUCUCUAUCGAGGCCCUACUUCUUAACGCGACGUGAACGAAAGCUGUCGUCACAUGACGGCUGCUUUGCGUGACGAAAAGCAGGACUACUUAGACACUAGUGACUUAGUGACUUGUUAUUUGACGUCACGGCUUUCUUAUUGUUAGUGGCGUCAUGAACACACUUCAGGCAACUGGAUGUCAGCCCUCUUCGUCAUAUCUUCAUCUAACGUCACGUGUAUACGCCAGGACACAACGAAUUGUGACAUCACACAUGACUGCAUUCUGCGGUGUAGCGUGUUGCGAUAUGACGUCACGUCAAGUAGCGAAGCCUACUUACACGUCGUCGUUGUCCACUCUCCUGUCUCUGUUCAACGGUUGCUUUUCCUCGCAGGGUGGAAGGUCCUUGCGACGCAGUUUAUCAUUGGCGACUUUGAGUGCGUGCUUGGUGGCCUGGAGCUCCUUCUUGAUGUGAACCAGGUGUUUCUCCAACUGGGAAACGAAGAACAGGGCAAGAACAAUCAACUAAUCGUCACAACAACAAUUAUCAUCAGCAACAUCAUCCACAACAACAAUAAUAUUAUCAUCAUCAGCAACAUUGUGAACAUCACCAUCUACAAAUCAUCUCCAGCAACAACACAA